UCCCUUCUCAUCUUCUCCAGUCUAUUGCUGGUGACAUAGUUAUUCCUUUCCUCACCCAUCUCAUUAACAUCUCCUUGUCAACUGGCUGUUUCCCAAUGCCCUUAAAGAGGCAAGAGUGACCCCACUACUCAAAAAAACACCACUUGACUUGUCUGAGAACAACCUUCUUGAUCCCCAUUAGUCUGGCUUCAAGGCUGGCCACUCAACAGAAACUGCGCUCCUUUCUGUCACUGAGCAGCUUCACAUUGCUA